UACGGAGGGGGCUAGCGUUGUUCGGAAUUACUGGGCGUAAAGCGCACGUAGGCGGCUUUGUAAGUUAGAGGUGAAAGCCCAGGGCUUAACUCUGGAAUUGCCUUUAAGACUGCAUCGUUGGAAUCGUGGAGAGGUGAGUGGAAUUCCGAGUGUAGAGGUGAAAUUCGUAGAUAUUCGGAAGAACACCAGUGGCGAAGGCGACUCACUGGACACGUAUUGACGCUGAGGUGCGAAAGCGUGGGGAGCAAACAGG
rnacentral:rRNA from 1 species